rnacentral:rRNA from 1 species
GACGAACGCUGGCGGCGUGCUUAACACAUGCAAGUCGAACGGUAGGGCCCUUCGGGGUACACGAGUGGCGAACGGGUGAGUAACACGUGGGUGAUCUGCCCUGCACUUCGGGAUAAGCCUGGGAAACUGGGUCUAAUACCGGAUAGGACCACUGCCUGCAUGGGUGGUGGUGGAAAGCUUUUGCGGUGUGGGAUGGGCCCGCGGCCUAUCAGCUUGUUGGUGGGGUGAUGGCCUACCAAGGCGACGACGGGUAGCCGGCCUGAGAGGGUGACCGGCCACACUGGGACUGAGAUACGGCCCAGACUCCUACGGGAGGCAGCAGUGGGGAAUAUUGCACAAUGGGCGCAAGCCUGAUGCAGCGACGCCGCGUGAGGGAUGACGGCCUUCGGGUUGUAAACCUCAUUCAGCACCGACGAAGCGCAAGUGACGGUAGGUGCAGAAGAAGGACCGGCCAACUACGUGCCAGCCGCCGCGGUAA